GAGACUGAAGGCACAGAGGCCAUAAACUACCCACCUGUAGACAUCAUGGUGGAAAUCUUCCCCAAAUCACCAUCCAGCAUAAACCCCCCUUGCGCUAGUCGGGUGGAGAUGCCAGCAUGGGUUUAGUUUAGUUUAGAGACACUGCGCGGAAACAGGCCCUUCGGCCCAGCGAGUCCGUGCCGACCAGCGAUCCCCGCUCACUAUCACUAUCCACACACACUGGGGACAAUUUACAAUUUUUACAGAAGUCUUUAACGCACAAACCUGUUGGUCUUUGGAGUUUGUACGAUGAUACCGGCGUUUUCUGUGUUGUAGGGGCAGCGGAUGUAGGCAGUGGGCGGUGAGAUGCUGAUGGGUGAACGGGACAUCACCUCCGAUGAGUUUAUCCUGGACGAAGUGGACACACACAUACAGGCCAACAUCGAGGAUGAACUCGUGAAGGAAGCAUUAAAGACUGUAGUUCUUUCCACUUCCCAACACAAAUGUGGUUGGAUUAUUCAGCAAAUGAUCGACCUGAGUCAAUAAAUCCUGGACCAUGGUAACAUAUAUGCUUAACCAUACACACUACUGAUUGAUGCUAGCAUUUUUUCUGUGAGGGACCGAAAAUUACCAUGACAUGGCCAUAGCAUGGGUCGUUAUUGCUAUUGGAACAGAAACACUCUCGCUUCCCACUUAAUUUAUCCAUAACAAAAUAUACAGGUUGUGAGGACAUUUCUAAAGGCAUUUUAUGAUAAUAGCUGUUAAAACCGACUAUACCCAUCUGACAGGUUAAACGUUACACUAACUGACAAGAGAUGGUCAAAGGACAUAACUGCAGCAAAAGUUAUUUUGGUAAUAUGUUUAAAGGUGUCAAAACAAAUAAUAACAUUGGGAAUUAAAACACAUUUGAUUGCAUUCCAUUAUCAAACAUAGUCAAUGUUCGCUCUGAAGACCAUGAAGCACAAUAGGGUCAGGGGGUGUGUGACUCAGUACGGGGUGGAUAGAUGGCGGAGGGAGGUUGAGAAGGCAAUCAGUGCGGAAUGGAUGGAUUGAGGCAGGUGAAUUAGUACGUGUUGG